CUUCUUCUUGCCUCUGGUCCAGCCGCGUCGCUUGGAGUCGAGGAAGUUGAGAAUCAUCCAGUUACAUGAGAUCACGCUCUGCCCAGGUGGAGGUGUGCACUGAAUGUGCUCCCCGAGAAUCCCACAGAAGAACUGAGCAGAUGCUGACUGCGGUCAGGGAAGAAAGGAAACAUCCAUCCCGUACAGCAUGUUGGAAACAGUGAAGUGGCCAGGGGAGUGCAGGAUGCGCUGGACGGAAGGACUGUGCGUGGACACAGGGACCAGAGUGAGGAGCCAGGUGACGACGGGAGAAGAGGAGCCAGGCUGUCGCUGCCGAGUCACCAGCAGCAGGGAGCUUCCCUUCCCUGUCAGAGCUCAGGGUGAUGUGCUUAGAGAGCCUUCUGCAAUGAGCUCCCGUCCUGGGCUGUGUUGUCAAGACACAGUUUUUGGUUGCU